CUCAGGGAGGUAGUGACAAGAAAUAACAACACUGGAAAUUUUAUUUCUAGUGAUUGGAAUGAUGGGAAUUUAAACCCCUUUCAGAGUAACAAUUGGAGGGCAAGUCUGGUGCCAGCAGCCGCGGUAAUUCCAGCUCCAAUAGCGUAUAUUAAAGUUGUUGCAGUUAAAAAGCUCGUAGUUGGAUGUCUGCUGGAAGCAAUCAGUCCGCCCUAUUUGUAGGGUGUGCACUUGAUGAAUUCUGGCAUUUUUGUCCCAAUGAUGUAACGGAGCGGUGCUAUUGGGCGAAAGUUCAAUAGCCUGUUUUCCGAUUAUUGGGAUACUGUUACUUUGAGAAAAUUAGAGUGUUUGAAGCAGGCUAAUUGCCUUGAAUACUGCAGCAUGGAAUAACAAUAUAGGAUUUCGGUUCUAUUUUGUUGGUUUCUAGGACUGAAAUAAUGAUUAAUAGGGACAGUUGGGGGCAUUCGUAUUUAACUGUCAGAGGUGAAAUUCUUAGAUUUGUUAAAGACGAACUACUGCGAAAGCAUUUGCCAAAGAUGUUUUCAUUAAUCAAGAACGAAAGUUAGGGGCUCGAAGACGAUCAGAUACCGUCGUAGUCUUAACCAUAAACUAUGCCGACUAGAGAUAGGAAAAUGUCAUUUUGCUGACUU
rnacentral:rRNA from 1 species